rnacentral:lncRNA from 1 species
GCCGCGGCACCUUGUCUUCCGUUGCACUGGCACUCCAAUCAUGGCGGUUCGUGGAGCACGUCUGGGAGCUCUGGCACAGAAUCAGGACCUCCAGAUUAUCUGUUGGCUAGCCGGGAUCCAGCCUACCUGUCGUGUUUAUCGUUACAGUUUAGUAGUAUUCGCCUGCCUCUGAAAUCGUUAGUUUUCUUUCCCUUCCCCUGGUAGACUUGGCCAGUUGGAGUUGGGGUUGGGGCACAGACAGCUCGCACAGUCGCCGAUAAAGAAUGUCCUGGCCCCUUCUGGGGAUCAGGAUUAUUCCAACCCCAUUCCGAUAAAGAAUGUUCCGGGGCUCGGAUUAUUCUCUUCGUUCAUCCCGUCCCC